AGUCGAGGGGCAGCAUUUUAGUUUGCUUGCAAACUAAAGAUGGCGACCGGCGCACGGGUGAGCUAACACGCUAUCCAACCUGCCGAUAACUCGGGGAUAGCCUUUCGAAAGAAAGAUUAAUAUCCGAUAGUAUAUUAAAACCGCAUGGUUUUACUAUUAAAGAAUUUCGGUUAUCGAUGGGGAUGCGUUCCAUUAGUUUGUUGGCGGGGUAACGGCCCACCAAGACUACGAUGGAUAGGGGUUCUGAGAGGAAGGUCCCCCACAUUGGAACUGAGACACGGUCCAAACUCAUACGGGAGGCAGCAGUGAGGAAUAUUGGUCAAUGGACGAGAGUCUGAACCAGCCAAGUAGCGUGAAGGAUGACUGCCCUAUGGGUUGUAAACUUCUUUAAAAUGGGAAUAAAGUAUUCCACGUGUGGGAUUUUGUAUGUACCAUAUAAAUAAGGAUCGGCUAACUCCGUGCCAGCAGCCGCGGUAAUACGGAGGAUCCGAGCGUUAUCCGGAUUUAUUGGGUUUAAAGGGAGCGUAGGUGGAUUUGUUAAGUCAGUUGUGAAAGUUUGCGGCUCAACCGUAAAAUUGCAGUUGAAACUGGCAGUCUUGAGUACAGUAGAGGUGGGCGGAAUUCGUGGUGUAGCGGUGAAAUGCUUAGAUAUCACGAAGAACUCCGAUUGCGAAGGCAGCUCACUAGACUGCAACUGACACUGAUGCUCGAAAGUGUGGGUAUCAAACAGGAUUAGAUACCCUGGUAGUCCACACAGUAAACGAUGAAUACUCGCUGUUUGCGAUAUACAGUAAGCGGCCAAGCGAAAGCAUUAAGUAUUCCACCUGGGGGAGUACGCCGGCAACGGUGAAACUCAAAGGAAUUGACGGGGGCCCGCACAAGCGGAGGAACAUGUGGUUUAAUUCGAUGAUACGCGAGGAACCUUACCCGGGCUUAAAUUGCAUUUGAAUAAUCUGGAAACAGGUUAGCCCCCAAGGCAAAUGUGAAGGUGCUGCAUGGUUGUCGUCAGCUCGUGCCGUGAGGUGUCGGCUUAAGUGCCAUAACGAGCGCAACCCUUAUCUUUAGUUACUAACAGGUCAUGCUGAGGACUCUAGAGAGACUGCCGUCGUAAGAUGUGAGGAAGGUGGGGAUGACGUCAAAUCAGCACGGCCCUUACGUCCGGGGCUACACACGUGUUACAAUGGGGGGUACAGAAGGCAGCUACCUGGCGACAGGAUGCUAAUCCCAAAAACCUCUCUCAGUUCGGAUCGAAGUCUGCAACCCGACUUCGUGAAGCUGGAUUCGCUAGUAAUCGCGCAUCAGCCAUGGCGCGGUGAAUACGUUCCCGGGCCUUGUACACACCGCCCGUCAAGCCAUGAAAGCCGGGGGUACCUGAAGUACGUACCGCAAGGAG
rnacentral:rRNA from 1 species